rfam:Triticum urartu cultivar G1812 contig386448, whole genome shotgun sequence.
UUUCUCCUCCCUCCGUCUGAAAAUACUUGUCAUCAAAAUGGAUAAAAAGAGAUGUAUCUAAAACUAAAAUAUGUCUAGAUACAUUUCCUUUUAUCCAUUUUGAUGACAAGUAUUUCCGGACGGAGGGAGUAUUUG